rnacentral:rRNA from 1 species
GUAACGCGUGAGUAACCUCGUCCCUUUGGGAGGGGGACAACAUUACCGAAAGGAAUGCUAAUACCGCAUAACAUAUAUUUAAGGCAUCUUAGAUAUAUCAAAGAUUUAUCGCCAAAGGAUGGACUCGCGUCUGAUUAGUUAGUUGGUGAGGUAACGGCUCACCAAGACCGCGAUAGGUAGCCGACCUGAGAGGGUGAACGGCCACACUGGAACUGAGAAACGGACCAGACUCCUACGGGAGGCAGCAGUGGGGAAUAUUGGGCAAUGGAGGCAACUCUGACCCAGCAACGCCGCGUGAAGGAAGAAGGCCUUCGGGUUGUAAACUUUUGUUGUAGAGGACGAAGAAAGUGACUGUACUCUACGAGGAAGCCCCGGCUAACUAUGUG